rnacentral:rRNA from 1 species
GAUGAACGCUGGCGGCGUGCCUAAUACAUGCAAGUCGAGCGAACAGAUAAGGAGCUUGCUCCUUUGACGUUAGCGGCGGACGGGUGAGUAACACGUGGGUAACCUACCUAUAAGACUGGAAUAACUCCGGGAAACCGGGGCUAAUGCCGGAUAACAUUUAGAACCGCAUGGUUCUAAAGUGAAAGAUGGUUUUGCUAUCACUUAUAGAUUGACCCGCGCCGUAUUAGCUAGUUGGUAAGGUAACGGCUUACCAAGGCAACGAUACGUAGCCGACCUGAGAGGGUGAUCGGCCACACUGGAACUGAGACACGGUCCAGACUCCUACGGGAGGCAGCAGUAGGGAAUCUUCCGCAAUGGGGGAAAGCCUGACGGAGCAAAGCCGCGUGAGUGAUGAAGGUCUUAGGAUCGUAAAACUAUGUUAUUAGGGAAGAACAAAUGUGUAAGUAACUGUGAACGUCUUGACGGUACCUAAUCAGAAAGCCACGGCUAACUACGUG